rnacentral:lncRNA from 1 species
UUAGAGCUUCAUCCCUCUGGCUACCAUGGGCUUAUGCAAGCUAUUCUCCAUAAGCAAAUCAAGGAACUUAAAGAUGGUGGGUGCUUCUCUCCUUAGGCUGAUGUGACAUGUCCACAGCAGCCUGGUCCUGCAAGAGGGUGGCCAAAAAAAAAAAAAAAAAAAAUUACUUCUCUUUCCAGUAAGUGGGAUACAUUUUAACCAUGUUAUGAAAAUUCAUUUGUCUUCUGUGCCCACUCCAUGCUCUAUCUAGAUUCAGACUUCAAAUAACAAGUAAAUAUCUAACAAUAUUCCCAGAAACUUGUUUUGAAUAUUUGAAAACCAGUUAAAAACAUUAAAAGCCAGUACCAACUUGCAUAGGAUACACAAUGUACUGAGACAAGGAAGAAAAAAAAAUGUUUUAAGCUGUUUUUAAGUCAUUUGAGAACUAAAAUGAAAAGCCUAUGCCUAAUGUUCAUGCUUGUUUUUCUUCCUAUGUCCCUUAACUUUGAUCUCCAACCAAACAUGACUAAAUAGGUUUAAUCGAGAGGCGAUUGCAGGGUGGGAGGUGAGAAGGAACUGUGGAAAACUGGUAUGGAACCAGCAAAAGAAGCCACAAAAAAGAAAGUCCCUGUCAAGCUAAAUGACAGAUACAGCCUAAAGCAACACCAGUGUGCUACAGUUUGUGAGAACUGAAGAAUCCAACAAAAUCGAAACUGUGGAUAAGGAGUGUUUGCUAAGAGGUUUGAUGACAGAGUCUUUACAGAAGAUUUUUAUUUUUCAAUAAGAAAAACCCUUCUGAGGAAUUCUCAUCCAUAUAUUAGCCAUCUCCCAUCUAUGCAGCUUUCCCUGAUAUGGCCUCUGAUUACAGAACAGCUUCUUGUUCAGACAUUUUCCAAGGGCUUCAAGGGCAACUAGAGAAAUACGAUGUUAAAAGCACUUGCAGCAGGUUAAUUCAUCACGACGGAGAAAGUAUACUACAGUAUUAUUUGCUAACACCACAACAGGAAGUGUGACCAUG